ACAGCCACAUCAUGUUGAAACACCUAUUCCUGUAUGAUCACUGAAGUUAAGCAACAUCAGGCUUUGUCAGUACCUAGAUGGAUGACCAUUUAGGAAUACCAGGUGCUGUA